GCCACAUGGUCACCGGGGUGUCGCCUGUAUGGUUGUGAGUAGGUCUCCCAUGGUCGUGAGAGGUUUCCAAAAAGUCGUAGCGUCUUUCUGGUCGCCGCUGAAUUUUAAACAUGUUGAAAAUUUCGGCGACCGAUGACGUGUGCCGGCAGUCGUCUGUAAAGGUCGCGUAAGUGGGACAGGCCCUUUUAAAUGUCCUAACUGUCUUAAAACCUCUUUCAUGCCGCUAUCGUAUCUGGCAACUAACAUUAGCGACGCAUUCCAGGGUCUCGCCACCCUCUCCUUGUCUUCCGUCUCCUUGCCAUCUCUGCCGUACCUCCCCACAAUGUGAAAGAAAUAACUUCAUUUGCAGACCGGAGGUGAAUAUUUUGAGGAUAUGUCAUCGUGUAAGCUUCCAAACCAACAGCAAGAACCACGUCGCCUGAAAUCGCAGCUCUGUGUACCUGCC